CCUUUGCCGAGUCGGACGCGAGUUCGACUCCCGACAG
rnacentral:sRNA from 13 species